UACGUAGGGUGCAAGCGUUGUCCGGAAUUAUUGGGCGUAAAGAGCUCGUAGGCGGUUUGUCGCGUCUGCUGUGAAAACCCGAGGCUCAACCUCGGGCCUGCAGUGGGUACGGGCAGACUAGAGUGCGGUAGGGGAGAUUGGAAUUCCUGGUGUAGCGGUGGAAUGCGUAGAUAUCCGAAAGAACACCGGUGGCGAAGGCGGUGGUCUGGGCCUGAACUGACGCUGAGGAGCGAAAGCCAGGGGAGCAAACGGG
rnacentral:rRNA from 1 species